ACCAUACCAUACCAUACCAUACCAUACCAUACCAUACCAUACCAUACCAUACCAUACCAUACCAUACCAUACCAUACCAUACCAUACCAUACCAUACCAUACCAUACCAUACCAUACCAUACCAUACCAUACCAUACCAUACCAUACCAUACCAUACCAUACCAUACCAUACCAUACCAUACCAUACCAUACCAUACCAUACCAUACCAUACCAUACCAUACCAUACCAUACCAUACCAUACCAUACCAUACCAUACCAUACCAUACCAUACCAUACCAUACCAUACCAUACCAUACCAUACCAUACCAUACCAUACCAUACCAUACCAUACCAUACCAUACCAUACCAUACCAUACCAUACCAUACCAUACCAUACCAUACCAUACCAUACCAUACCAUACCAUACCAUACCAUACCAUACCAUACCAUACCAUACCAUACCAUACCAUACCAUACCAUACCAUACCAUACACCAUACCAUACACCAUACCAUACCAUACCAUACCAUACCAUACCAUACCAUACCAUACCAUACCAUACCAUACCAUACCAUACCAUACCAUACCAUACCAGGAAGGCUGCCGGGGCCGCGGGGGGAUGCCCGAGGAUGUCACCCGCUGGAUGUCACCGCCCGGGAUGCCAGCCUAAAGAUGCCACCCCCAGGGUGAUGGCACUGCUGACCCCAGGGUGGUGGCAUCGCUGACCCCAGGAUGCUGCCAGCAUCACCCCAAGGAUGCUGCGGUGCUGUUGGAGCAGCACUUCCCACUCCCAGGGUCAGACCUUGUUCUGUUCUCUCUAUUUGAGGCUUUCCUGAGCUGGGUUAUCUGUUCCAGCAGAGGAACUUGUGUCUGUGUGUCUGUCUGUGUCUGUGUGUGCUGAAUUCUUCAGCACAGCAUCCUGCAAGUUCACCAAAUCCAACCAUUUUUAGCCUCUUUGUUUAACCGCCCCCGUGUGUGAUUAUUGUGAGUACCUGGUGCUUUACCUAAAACAAAAAUGAUUGUCAGCCUGGCUGGGUAAAAAAUGUAGUCGUGUUCACUUUAAAAAAAAAAGGGGGG
rnacentral:lncRNA from 12 species